rnacentral:rRNA from 1 species
UGGCCAGGCUGUCUCCACCCGAGACUCAGUGAAAUUGAACUCGCUGUGAAGAUGCAGUGUACCCGCGGCAAGACGGAAAGACCCCGUGAACCUUUACUAUAGCUUGACACUGAACAUUGAGCCUUGAUGUGUAGGAUAGGUGGGAGGCUUUGAAGUGUGGACGCCAGUCUGCAUGGAGCCGGCCUUGAAAUACCACCCUUUAAUGUUUGAUGUUCUAACGUGGACCCGUGAUCCGGGUUGCGGACAGUGUCUGGUGGGUAGUUUGACUGGGGCGGUCUCCUCCUAAAGAGUAACGGAGGAGCACGAAGGUUGGCUAAUCCUGGUCGGACAUCAGGAGGUUAGUGCAAUGGCAUAAGCCAGCUUGACUGCGAGCGUGACGGCGCGAGCAGGUGCGAAAGCAGGUCAUAGUGAUCCGGUGGUUCUGAAUGGAAGGGCCAUCGCUCAACGGAUAAAAGGUACUCCGGGGAUAACAGGCUGAUACCGCCCAAGAGUUCAUAUCGACGGCGGUGUUUGGCACCUCGAUGUCGGCUCAUCACAUCCUGGGGCUGAAGUAGGUCCCAAGGGUAUGGCUGUUCGCCAUUUAAAGUGGUACGCGAGCUGGGUUUAGAACGUCGUGAGACAGUUCGGUCCCUAUCUGCCGUGGGCGCUGGAGAACUGAGGGGGGCUGCUCCUAGUACGAGAGGACCGGAGUGGACGCAUCACUGGUGUUCGGGUUGUCAUGCCAAUGGCACUGCCCGGUAGCUAAAUGCGGAAGAGAUAAGUGCUGAAAGCAUCUAAGCACGAAACUUGCCCCGAGAUGAGUUCUCCCUGAGACUUUAGGUCUCCUGAAGGAACGUUGAAGACGACGACGUUGAUAGGCCGGGUGUGUAAGCGCAGCGAUGCGUUGAGCUAACCGGUACUAAUGAACCGUGAGGCUUAACCUUACA